UCAAGAAAAAGGUAUAGUUAGACAAAACUCACAUCGCCAUGGCGCCUGCCUCUGCCCGCACCCGAAGCCGCACCACCCCCAACCACCGUAGAUCGCCGCCCAAACCAUUUCCGUUCAGAGCCACCGCGACCACAGCUUGUCCAUCGCCCAUCUUCUUUUUGACUGAGCUAAGGCCGCCGUGAACCACCACCGAAUCGACGUGCUCCUCCACUUCUUGGUCCCGACCGCCGUGCCUUCGCUUUCUCCUAGCCCAACAACUCCAACCGAUGCCGUCUUCUCCUACUCUCAAUCACAAUUGUUUGGGUACUUUACUAUCUUCCCCUUCAAUUGCAGGUGAAAUUGUUCCAAUUGUGCUUUAUUUAUGUACACUAAUUUUGGAGGAAUUUUUUUUGUUGUCCCUCUUCUCAGUCACGAUUAUUAGGUUAAUUGUUUUUAUUGUGUUUGAAUUAAGAUUGAAAUUGAUUUUUGAAGGAAUUUCAGCUUGGUUAGAACAUUGGUGUGAUAUAGGGGUAUGUUUAGUUGGUUGCUUUGGACUGAUACUCCCGAAGUGACAAUUUCGAAUUGAAUUUGGUUUUUCUUUGGAGUUCUUGUUCUUGUUUUUUUGGUUGGUAGAUGAUGUUUUGUGAAAUCUGAUUAUUUUUUGGGCAUAUUCCAUGAUUUGGAUUAAUACUUCAUAAUGAUACACAUUGUUAAUUCUAAUUUGAAUAUAGUCUUCUUUUUGAGUUAUUGUUUGUGGUUGCAAGAUGUUUUGCGGUGGAUCCUCGAAAUAAUAUUAGGAUUUGAACUCAAAUAUGAAACCUUUUGAACUUAAAUUAAACUUUAAAUUGACUUUUUUGAGGUAAAUUGUCUUUGUUGGGCUUAAUUUGAGGUUUACGGUUGAGGUUGGUAUUGAUUUUUAUAAUGGAAUUCAAUUUCCCUGCUGUUAGAAGGUAUGAGAUGGUUUUCUUUUGUUGUGUGAAUUAAUAUUGAUAUAAUGAAGUGAAUAAGCAUUGGUGAUGACUCGAGUGCUUCCCUUGGAAUCCAUUUUGUAUAGUGUUUAUGGGCUUCUAUAAUUAAAAAAAUCACAAUGAACAAUUGUUUCGAGGAUCCUACAGAGUGAUGACAGAAUGAUGGCUCCUCUUACAUGAAUUUAAAGGCUUUGAAAGAAUAUCUGAUUUUCUCCUUAGCUCUAUGAAAGAACUCUUCGGUGUCUUCCCACUUCUAGUUGAAACUUGUUUUUUUUCAGUGUUAGAUUAAAGUGAGUAAUUGCAAACACACUUUUAAUGAUUUUAUGUUUUUUAGAUUUUCCUUCAUGGAAAAUGCACAAAUGAACCGUCCUUUUUUAUUUUUUUUCUUUAUUUAAGGGUUUGCAUUUAGUUUCACACUAACUUAUUAUGAGAGCACGUACAUAAUCGGUUGGAUUUCAGUUACUUCAGUCCAUUGUUGAACUCAAUAGCACAAAGAUCUUAAGACAAUCAUAUUGUUAUUGGAGAUGAUCUGGAAGAGAGGGAAGAUUUUAUUUCAAUGCCCAAAUAUGGUGUUUGUUUCUUGCAACUUAUGCCCGAUCAAAAUUAAGGUUAUUCUCUAACUUUUUUGUCUAGUAGUGUUUUCUGAUGCUGAUCCACAAUGUUGGUAGUCUGCUUUAGUCUUCUAGUUAAUUAAUAGCAUGUUCCUAAUUCGACAUUCAUUUAUGCAAAUUGAGUGUUAAGUAAGAUUCUGAACUGGUUUUCUAAAUUCACAUGUGAUGGAAAGAAGUUAAAUAAAAAUCAUAAAAAAGCCUUCUUUAAUGGACUCAAGAUAUCGAGUCUGUACUUACCUGCUUUAUUCCAGCAGUUAAACUAAGUUGAAUAUGUUUUAAUCAGGUUCUACGCUUACAUUGUAAUAAGAUCCAACUCAUCCAGUUUAACUCACCAUUGUUAACCAGUUCAAUUGUGCUCGCCACCAUGGAUGAUUUGUCAGUACAAUUUGCAAACGUAAUUUUGGUUUGUUGGAGUUUUGCUUCAAUGUUGUAUUAGGUUGGCUGGAUUUUUGUUGGAGUUUUGUAUUGGUUUUCCAACUGAACUUUUUGUAUGGUUUAUGUAGAUGAUCUCUUGUAGCAUGUUGUAGUAGGGCGAUGCUCCUUUCAGAUGGAAGAGUCGGAUUGGCAGGCUGAAUUGUUUGAUUCUUCCUUCUUGACUCUAUGGCUGGUGGGAUGUUUGGUAUCUCCACUGACCGUUAAGUUGUUCAAACUUGGAAGGAUUUUGGCGGCUGGUUCUGUGGCCUUUUGUUUUGGUUUUUGCUGAUGGUAGAUUAUUGCAGUUUAAUUGGAGGCAUUAUAUUUAUAUCUUUGUUGGUGUUGAGGCUUGAAUCAACCGAUUACUGCUUGUAAAUUGCUUGUAGUAUUUUUGUUCUAGAUUACUAAAUUGCAGGUAGAAGUUGAGGCCAUCUGAGAUUAUGUAGAGAAGGAAGAGCAAUUGAAAGAGCAGAGGAGAGUUGUGAAGCAGUUGCAGCAAGAGUCAGGGAGCUUAAGAAAUAGGUCGUAUCAAGAGGCUGUAGGGCUGCAUAUUGAAGCAUUCUGGAAGAGGAAUUACCUGGUGGUAGUGGGUGCAGAUGAGUUGUGAUCUCCAUUCUGCUAUGGUGGAUCUUUGGCAUUUCCAAUACUUAAAUUAGUUUCUCGGUGGGCAUGACGAAUUAUGACUUCCUAGCGCUUUCCUCUACUCUCGUCACCUCUACUAUGAGUAUUUUGCAGCAUCUACAGUUUAUGGUGUUCAAUUUUGUUGAUUAGGUACAAUUGAUCAGCCCCUCCCUUCAGCCCCCCUCCAAAAUUCUGCAACCAUCAGCAAUUAUGCAAUCAGGGAAAUCUUGGCUUGAAUGUUGAUAAUGUAUAUAGCUUGCUUCCUGAUUAUUUUUUUGUAUUUGUCUUGAUUAUUGUACGUUGGAUUAGAUUGGUUUAGGUUGUUUAAUUUAUGCUUACUUCCUUAA